rnacentral:rRNA from 1 species
AGCAGCCGCGGUAAUUCCAGCUCCAAUAGCGUAUAUUAAAGUUGUUGCAGUUAAAGAGCUCGUAGUUGAAUUUCGGGAUUGACGUGAUGGUCGUGCCUUAAGGGGUAUGAACUGUCGCAGUUGAUUUCUCACCUUCUGGAGAAGCAUGAUGUCCUUAAUUGGGUGUCAUGUGGAACCAGGACCUUUACCUUGAAAAAAUUAGAGUGUUUAAAGCAGGCAUUUUGCUCGAAUACAUUGGCAUGGAAUAAUAGAAUAGGACGGCAUGGUUCUAUUUUGUUGGUUUCUAGGAUCACCGUAAUGAUUAAUAGGGAUAGUUGGGGGCAUUAGUAUUCAAUUGUCAGAGGUGAAAUUCUUGGAUUUAUUGAAGACUAACUACUGCGAAAGCAUUUGCCAAGGAUG